rnacentral:rRNA from 1 species
AUGAACGCUGGCGGCGUGCCUAAUACAUGCAAGUCGAACGAGUUCUCGUUGAUGAUCGGUGCUUGCACCGAGAUUCAACAUGGAACGAGUGGCGGACGGGUGAGUAACACGUGGGUAACCUGCCCUUAAGUGGGGGAUAACAUUUGGAAACAGAUGCUAAUACCGCAUAGAUCCAAGAACCGCAUGGUUCUUGGCUGAAAGAUGGCGUAAGCUAUCGCUUUUGGAUGGACCCGCGGCGUAUUAGCUAGUUGGUGAGGUAAUGGCUCACCAAGGCGAUGAUACGUAGCCGAACUGAGAGGUUGAUCGGCCACAUUGGGACUGAGACACGGCCCAAACUCCUACGGGAGGCAGCAGUAGGGAAUCUUCCACAAUGGACGCAAGUCUGAUGGAGCAACGCCGCGUGAGUGAAGAAGGCUUUCGGGUCGUAAAACUCUGUUGUUGGAGAAGUAUGGUCGGCAGAGUAACUGUUGUCGGCGUGACGGUAUCCAACCAGAAAGCCACGGCUAACUACGUGCCAGCAGCCGCGGUAAUACGUAGGUGGCAAGCGUUAUCCGGAUUUAUUGGGCGUAAAGCGAGCGCAGGCGGUUUUUUAAGUCUGAUGUGAAAGCCCUCGGCUUAACCGAGGAAGCGCAUCGGAAACUGGGAAACUUGAGUGCAGAAGAGGACAGUGGAACUCCAUGUGUAGCGGUGAAAUGCGUAGAUAUAUGGAAGAACACCAGUGGCGAAGGCGGCUGUCUGGUCUGUAACUGACGCUGAGGCUCGAAAGCAUGGGUAGCGAACAGGAUUAGAUACCCUGGUAGUCCAUGCCGUAAACGAUGAAUGCUAGGUGUUGGAGGGUUUCCGCUCUUCAGUGCCGCAGCUAACGCAUUAAGCAUUCCGCCUGGGGAGUACGACCGCAAGGUUGAAACUCAAAGGAAUUGACGGGGGCCCGCACAAGCGGUGGAGCAUGUGGUUUAAUUCGAAGCAACGCGAAGAACCUUACCAGGUCUUGACAUCUUUUGAUCACCUGAGAGAUCAGGUUUCCCCUUCGGGGGCAAAAUGACAGGUGGUGCAUGGUUGUCGUCAGCUCGUGUCGUGAGAUGUUGGGUUAAGUCCCGCAACGAGCGCAACCCUUAUGACUAGUUGCCAGCAUUUAGUUGGGCACUCUAGUAAGACUGCCGGUGACAAACCGGAGGAAGGUGGGGAUGACGUCAAAUCAUCAUGCCCCUUAUGACCUGGGCUACACACGUGCUACAAUGGAUGGUACAACGAGUUGCGAGACCGCGAGGUCAAGCUAAUCUCUUAAAGCCAUUCUCAGUUCGGACUGUAGGCUGCAACUCGCCUACACGAAGUCGGAAUCGCUAGUAAUCGCGGAUCAGCACGCCGCGGUGAAUACGUUCCCGGGCCUUGUACACACCGCCCGUCACACCAUGAGAGUUUGUAACACCCGAAGCCGGUGGCGUAACCCUUUUAGGGAGCGAGCCGUCUAAGGUGGGACAAAUGAUUAGGGUG